CUGACCUUAGCUCAGUUGGUAGAGCGGAGGACUGUAGAUCCUUAGGUCGCUGGUUCGAAUCCGGCAGGUCGGA
rnacentral:ncRNA from 15 species